CGUCAAUCACCCUCUUUGUUGCUCUGCGCCCCCUUUCCGCUCUCUGCAACUAGCAGAGCCUGUCUUGAAUGCUAAGGCUAUUAGUUAGCCUGGCCAUCAGUGACGGCAGAUAAAUGCUUUUCCUGUGUCGCAACAUGGUUGGAACCAGGUCGGCACCCCCUACCUCCAGAAAGUCAUGAAAUGAAUUGAAGCUGCAGCCGGUUUGGACCCUUCUGACCACUUGGUGGCGCCGCAGCUCCACAGCUUGUCAGAAAACCGCCUCUGCUCGGUUGGAAACAAAGGAACCAGUGGAUCUCCAUGUCGAGGGUACAGCUUUUUUGAUUUCUCAAAUACCAGAAAGACAAAGCGGAUUAGAGCCCAUUUGGAGAAGUUUAUUUGAGUGGAGCUCUGUUGUAAUUGGUGAAAUUAAGCCCCGUUUCACAGACCCUGAGCCGUAACACUCAAUGAACUGAACUGAACUCAGCUCCUGCAUCAGCUGUGAAUAAUGUAAUUUCAAUAAAUUGUCACAAGGAUUACUUUCUGAAAUUUACAGUGUCAAUCUUGGCAGAAAGUAGGAGGAUAUUUAUGAAAAAA